ACAAGGCCUCUGCAACGGAUUCAACGCGGACUCUGCGGGAGGGAAGAAAGCAGACUGUUGCCGACAUUUUCUCAGCAGCAUUGAACGCCUUGAACGAUCCUUGUGUUGUGAAGAUGCUGUGGAAGUGAUUCUUCGAAAGCUUUACGGUGGACAGAUUCUGCAGGUUCUGCAUGGCAACAAGGGACGAGAUGCAAGCCAAAGAGAUGACUGCAAACCAGAAAAUGACCAUGAGAGUCAUUCUAACAGAGGCAGAUAUAAGGAAAGUCAUCCUACAUUCAAGGCCUUCUACAGUAAAAGACUUGAUAACCAAGCUUCGAGAGUCACUGGGACUUCAAUACAACUUCAGUCUCCAAUUCCAAGACCCUGAAUUCAAUAAUGAACUAUGUAAUCUAACAGAUCUUCAAGAACUUCCAGAAAAACCAACCAUUAAAGUCCUGCCUGUCUUUGACCUGGUGCCUGUCUCAUCUGAUGACGUCUUUAGCGACACAAGUACUGCAGAUACAGAGAUACUCUCACAUUCACCUCAGGAUCGACGUGAACCAUGGCCAGAAUUUUUUGACAUUCCAACAUUUUCUGUUGAUGUGGAGUAUAGACUGAGGCAAGCAGAUUUGCUGUUUAUGAGUGAAGGAACACACCUUAAGGUCUCAAAAGAGCUGAAACAUGAGAUACUAGAGAGACUGGCAGAAAGCAUGUAUAGCUACACAGCAUACCCAACUGCUGCUCAGUUUGAAAGUGUUGCAACAGCACUGAUAAACAAACACCCCUGUCUCCAGGAGCGAGGCUCUGUCACUCGCUGUUGUGGUUGGAAAAAUAGUCUAAAGCAUAAAAUGGGAAAUUAUAGAACAAAGCGCAGGCAAUCAGGAUGCCUUGAUGUUGCAGUAAAUGCCGGUAAGCGGGGAAGGCAUUCAUCAGAUGGACAACCAGCAAACAAGCGGAUAAAAAAGGCAAAGAAAGGUGAAAUCAACUACUUGCCCAACUUUCCGGAUGGAUUUGAUCAAGCUGCCCUGGAAGAGGCCCGUAAGGACUUGGCUGAUGAAAUGCAGAAGAGAACCCCAAAUGGACUUCUUGUAAAACAAAAGAUGGAUCAGACUUUUGCUUUGAGAAGAAAAGAGGUUGUGGACUCUGAACCCCCAUAAACAUGAUGGUGAAACGCUGGCCUGCCCUCUUCACAGAAGAUCAGGUGUUCAUGGAGUUCAGCAGGAUUGUGGGCAAGAACCUCAAGCAGGAAUUUUAUGAGAACAUCGAUCAGCACAGUCCUCGUUUCCUUGAGUUAUUUCGUUCCAAGAGAGGGAAUGUUGGACAGUUGUUGACUCAGAUUUCACAACAGACCAAUACUACUGACCCAACUGCAAUCCGGACACAGGUGCUCAGAGGGCUUCCAAUCAUCCUGGGGGACAAUCCUUCAACCUUCUUCAAAGCAGGCUUUGAAUCAGAUGCUGAUUUUUUCCGUGACCUUGACAUCGGGAUUCUUCUCACUGAGCGUGAAGAGGCUGUGCUCACAUCUGCCCAGCAUCCAAGUCCAACCUUGUUGAAAAUUAUCAUUGAGGGAGAAGUCGUGAUGGAAAACAUCCAAGAUCUGCCUAAAGCAAUGUGCAUUCUGUUUGGACUCACGUAUGCACUCCAUCUUAACUAUCCUAAAAGUAUGAAGCUGACCUUUCUGUUCAUCCAACAGAUUUUGCUCUCAUUAGGCCACACUGACCUAAAGCCAAAGAUACAAUCUUUGAAAAAUCAGCUUACAAUGUAAAGUGAUGUCAUCUCUACUGUGACAUGUUUGUUUUUUUUCCUCACCUUUUUGGUUCUGUAAAACAGCCCAACAAAAAGGCACAAAACGCAGAAACAGACACAUUCAGCACCCA